GAAUAACAUGGAUCUGACUGUGACAUAUGUCACCCCAUUGAUUGCCAGAGUUGAUUCAGCUGAUCUGGCAGGCUAGGUGGGGUGUCCCCUUCCUCCUUCACCACUCCAUGUGGAUCCCUCCUGAAGCUGUGCAUUUGGUGGAAGAGGGUGACAUCUCAGGUAUAGAAGGAGUGUACUGAGGUUUUUGAAUAACAUGU
rnacentral:snRNA from 1 species